rnacentral:rRNA from 1 species
UACAGAGGUCCCAAGCGUUGUUCGGAUUCACUGGGCGUAAAGGGUGCGUAGGUGGUGAGGUAAGUCGGAUGUGAAAGCUCCGAGCUCAACUCGGAAAUGGCAUUGGAAACUACCUUGCUAGAGGGUUUGAGGGGGGGACUGGAAUACUUGGGUGUAGCAGUGAAAUGCGUAGAUAUCAAGUGGAACACCAGUGGCGAAGGCGAGUCCCUGGAAAACUCCUGACACUGAGGCACGAAAAGCUAGGGGGAGCAAACAGG